UACGUAGGCAGCGAGCGUUGUUCGGAGUUACUGGGCGUAAAGGGUGUGUAGGCGGUUGUUUAAGUUUGGUGUGAAAUCUCCCGGCUCAACUGGGAGGGUGCGCCGAAUACUGAAUGACUCGAGUGUGGGAGAGGUGAGUGGAAUUCCCGGUGUAGUGGUGGAAUGCGUAGAUAUCGGGAGGAACACCAGUGGCGAAGGCGGUUGCCUGGAGCUUUGCUGACGCUGAGGCGCGAAAGCGUGGGGAGCGAGUCCGG
rnacentral:rRNA from 1 species